rnacentral:lncRNA from 1 species
CUUGAUCACAUAUUACUUUAAACUCAUGAUGUACAAAUUUAAAUCCACACAUAAUAAUUAGACUCAUACCCUUGUUCUAGUUUCACAUUAUGGAAGGCGGUUAUUAUUAGGAUGACUAUGUGGUUGCGUGUUUGUCAGACGCUGUGCACUCUGAUUCAUUGUCGGUGACAUUGAUAGUGCUUCUUGUUGAAAAAAAUCACCAUAAUUCAGAGUCUCAGGUUUAUACUGCUGAUUACUAUCCUGAAUUGUUGUGUCAGUGAAGAAGCUAGGAAGGGAAGAGGGCUCACCAUAGAACCAAGAUGAUGAUGGUCCCUGCAAAUCAAGAUCAUCAAUAGUGUUGUUGUAUUCGACUGGAGAAAUCUGCCUUGGGGCGGUAAGAUGCUGAUGAUAAUUAGGUGCAGCAACAUUGUUUUGAAUAAUGUUUCCAUAAAGAUUAUAGUUAUAACAAACAGCAGCAGGAACAUUGCUAUCUUGCUGAUU